AUACAGAGGGUGCGAGCGUUAAUCGGAAUUACUGGGCGUAAAGCGCGCGUAGGCGGCUUAUUAAGUCAGAUGUGAAAUCCCCGGGCUCAACCUGGGAACUGCAUCUGAUACUGGUAAGUUAGAGUUUUGGAGAGGGAAGUAGAAUUUCAGGUGUAGCGGUGAAAUGCAUAGAGAUCUGAAGGAAUACCAGUGGCGAAGGCGACUUCCUGGCCAAAAACUGACGCUGAGGUGCGAAAGCGUGGGUAGCAAACGGGAUUAGAUACCCUAGUAGUCC
rnacentral:rRNA from 1 species